GAUGAACGCUGGCGGCGUGCUUAACACAUGCAAGUCGAACGUGAGAGGUAGCAAUAUUCUUGAAAGUGGCGCACGGGUAAGUAAUACGUAGGUAACCUGCCCUGGAGUGGGGGAUAACAACUGGAAACGGUUGCUAACACCGCAUAAUACCGGACACUAGGGAUAGUGACUGGUAAAAACUCUGGUGCUUCAGGAGGGGCCUGCGGCCGAUUAGCUAGUUGGCGGGGUAAGAGCCCACCAAGGCAUUGAUCGGUAGCUGGUCUGAGAGGACGAUCAGCCACACGGGAACUGAGACACGGUCCCGACUCCUACGGGGGGCAGCAGUGAGGAAUAUUGGGCAAUGGGCGAAAGCCUGACCCAGCAACGCCGCGUGGAGGAAGACGGCCUUCGGGUUGUAAACUCCUUUUACGGGGGAAGAGGAAGGACGGUACCCCGAGAAUAAGUCACGGCUAACUACGUGCCAGCCGCCGCCGUAAGAC
rnacentral:rRNA from 1 species